GAUGAACGCUAGCUACAGGCUUAACACAUGCAAGUCGCGGGGCAGCAUGGGGGUUGCUUGCAAUCCCCGAUGGCGACCGGCGCACGGGUGAGUAACGCGUAUCCAACCUGCCCUUCACCACGGGAUAACCCGGCGAAAGUCGGACUAAUACCGUAUGUUGUCCAUUGACGGCACCCGAUUUGGACGAAAGGUUUGGCGGUGAAGGAUGGGGAUGCGUCCGAUUAGCUGGACGGCGGGGUGACGGCCCACCGUGGCGACGAUCGGUAGGGGUUCUGAGAGGAAGGUCCCCCACACUGGAACUGAGACACGGUCCAGACUCCUACGGGAGGCAGCAGUGAGGAAUAUUGGUCAAUGGGCGUAAGCCUGAACCAGCCAAGUAGCGUGCAGGAUGACGGCCCUAUGGGUUGUAAACUGCUUUUAUGCGGGGAUAAAGUGGCCCACGUGUGGGUUUUUGCAGGUACCGCAUGAAUAAGGACCGGCUAAUUCCGUG
rnacentral:rRNA from 1 species